GUGUCUGAAAUUAAUUUGAUGUGCUGGUCGAUUCCGAAAAGUCUGCAUCAAUCAUUAUAACAAUCGAAAUCGUUGUGAUUGGCUGAAUUUAUGGUAUUCUUGUUGCAACAAUGCAUUGUAGCCAAUAGUGAGCGACCGUCAACCAAUCA